GAGUUUGAUCGUGGCUCAGGAUGAACGCUGGCGGCGUGCCUAAUACAUGCAAGUCGAGCGAACGGACGAGAAGCUUGCUUCUCUGAUGUUAGCGGCGGACGGGUGAGUAACACGUGGAUAACCUACCUAUAAGACUGGGAUAACUUCGGGAAACCGGAGCUAAUACCGGAUAAUAUUUUGAACCGCAUGGUUCAAAAGUGAAAGACGGUCUUGCGUGUCACUUAUAGAUGGAUUCCGCGCUGCAUUAGCUAGUUGGU
rnacentral:rRNA from 1 species